GUGGGGCAUUAGACUCAAAAGCCCUUAGCAGUCACCUGGCAUAACCUUUGUUGUUACAGAUAAGGAAGCUGAGAUCUGGCCAGAGGAAGGAAGUCUCAGUGUCCACCUCCCAGGUACUCAGAUGGGAAGGGGUCAGUCAGUGUACCAGCCCGGGAAACUGUUUUCACCUCCCUCAGCAGCGGGUCAGCAGGCGUUUUUAAAAUCAAGCCCUAAAGAACACGAAGGCGGCUCCUCCAUUGGGUUAUCAAGAAGUCAUCGUGUGCACCAGCCAUCACAACUGCACAGUGACUUUAACAGAUCUCAGUUUAAACCCUACAAUUGCCAACUCUCCAUCUGUUGACCUUCAACAUAUAAAGGGAAUAUUUUUUUCUCUCUCUCUCUUUUCUUUUUUCUUAAGGAUGUGGAAAACUUGACUAGAAUUGCAUGGUCUGACAUUUCCUGUGAGAAAGCUCUCUGCUUGGAAUGCUGUGAAAACAAUCUGCCUUAACAAUUCCACCCAGAUAAAUUAUCUUCCUGAAACUUGUGAAGAGCCUUAAUUGGGAAUUGGGCUACACAGCCGAGUCUCUCGUCCGGGUCCACGAUGACGAAGGUUGGACAAAGAUAGGGAUCGCCUGGUGAGGACAGAUGAGGAGGGAAAUGGGGGGUGGGGGGCCACCAUGGCCCUUGCAUCCUCCUGGAAAAGCCAUUGGGCCCAGGCUGUUUGGCUGAAGAGAACACACGCCGUGCUCCCGUCUCCUCAGCCAUUGUUCUUGGGGAGUGAUGAUUUCUCAGCUUAACUAUCUUUCCAUAUGGAUCGGUCCCUACUGACUUUGACACACACCCCUGAAGAGAAACAUUCAGAGCAAGAGCCAAAAUUAAGUCUAACAUUUCUACUUCUUGUAUAUCUAUUCCAUGAGUCAGACUGGAUUCUGGUACAUUCUAGGAACAGAAAAGAAAUGUAUCCUGGUCACCAAGAAAUGUAUCUGAAGGGAGAAAGGCUAAAGAAAGAGAACUGGGGUCAAAGAAGGUCUUCUCAAGGACUUCUCCUUCUCUUUUCUCCUUCAAAGCCACUCAUGAAGCUGUGGCCCAGUGCAGAAGCAGGGGAUGGACUGG
rnacentral:lncRNA from 1 species